ACUUUUGCAUUAGAGGAAUAUAUAUAUAUAUAUAUAUAUAUAAGCACAAUUAAAGGUUACAAACUUCAUUCAGGGAUAGCAGAAUCCUAUGAAAGUACU